rnacentral:rRNA from 1 species
AUUGAACGCUGGCGGCAUGCUUUACACAUGCAAGUCGAACGGUAACAGGUUAAGCUGACGAGUGGCGAACGGGUGAGUAAUGCAUCGGAACGUGCCCGGUCGUGGGGGAUAACGCAGCGAAAGCUGCGCUAAUACCGCAUACGAUCUGAGGAUGAAAGCGGGGGACCGUAAGGCCUCGCGCGAUCGGAGCGGCCGAUGUCAGAUUAGGUAGUUGGUGGGGUAAAGGCUCACCAAGCCAACGAUCUGUAGCUGGUCUGAGAGGACGACCAGCCACACUGGGACUGAGACAAGGCCCAGACUCCUACGGGAGGCAGCAGUGGGGAAUUUUGGACAAUGGGCGAAAGCCUGAUCCAGCAAUGCCGCGUGCAGGAAGAAGGCCUUCGGGUUGUAAACUGCUUUUGUACGGGGCGAAAAGGUCUCCUCUAAUACAGGGGGCUCAUGACGGUACCGUAAGAAUAAGCACCGGCUAACUACGUGCCAGCAGCCGCAGUAA